rnacentral:rRNA from 1 species
UACGUAGGGUGCAGGCGUUAAUCGGAAUUACUGGGCGUAAAGCGUGCGCAGGCGGUUUCUUAAGUCAGAUGUGAAAGCCCCGGGCUUAACCUGGGAACUGCGUUUGAAACUGGGAGACUUGAGUGUGGCAGAGGGGGGUGGAAUUCCCGGUGUAGUGGUGAAAUGCGUAGAGAUCGGGAGGAACACCUGUGGCGAAGGCGGCCCCCUGGGCCGGCCCUGACACUGAGACGCGAAGGCGUGGGGAGCGAACGGG